CUUCCGCCCGCGCCGUCGAUGGGAUCCGCUCCUCCUCGCCCGGACAUGCCCGUCCCCGGCCUCCUCCUCCCCUUCCCCGUCCGCUGCGCCAUGGUCGACCUGCUGAAGUCCUCCGCUCCUUCCUCGUCCGCUGCGCUAUGGUCGACUUCGUGGAUUACCUCAAGUCCUCCUUGUCCUCCGGCGAGGUUCUGAUGGUGCAAAGCUUCUGGCUACCAAGGCAAAGGGCUUACCUCGCAUCACCAUUUCUCUCCAUAGUGUUACUGGCGCUGCGACGAGUGAUGCCAUAGCCGAGUUCUCGCUGUUGCUCUGUUCAGGUUCUGAUGGUGCAAAGCUUAUAGGACUGCACGGGAGCUUGCACCCAAAGAACAAGAACAAAUGUCACAACUGAUGGGGAGUCUGUCAACUGAAAGAGUAGGUCAUCUUAU